AAAGGAAUAGACGGGGGCCCGCACAAGCGGAGGAGCAUGUGGCUUAAUUCGAUGCAACGCGAAGAACCUUACCCGGGUUUGACAUGCAGCUGCGCGUCCCGCGAAAGCGGGACUCCUUCGAGGGAGCUGCACAGGUGCUGCAUGGCUGUCGUCAGUUCGUGCCGUGAGGUGUUUGGUUAAGUCCAGCAACGAACGCAACCCCUGUGUCCGGUUGCCAGCGGGUGAUGCCGGGGACUCGGGACAGACUGCCCGUUCACACGGGAGGAAGGUGGGGACGACGUCAAGUCAGUAUGGCCCUUACGCCCGGGGCUGCACACGUGCUACAAUGGCCGGCACAGAGGGAGGCGAGGCCGCGAGGCGGAGCAAACCCCCAAAACCGGCCCCAGUUCAGAUUGCGGUCUGCAACCCGGCCGCAUGAAGUCGGAUUCGCUAGUAACGGCGUAUCAGCUACGGCGCCGUGAAUACGUUCCCGGGCCUUGUACACACCGCCCGU
rnacentral:rRNA from 1 species